AUUCAAUGUGUUUUAUUCUACCCGUUUUGCAUUAAUAUUGUUGACAUCUGAAAUAGGAUUUUAGGUUGAAGGUGACAGGUUCUUUAUUUUUUGGGUUUCAGGAAGCAAAUUACGUAGUUGACCCUGUUGAGACUAUUCAGUCAGAUUGGAUUGAGCAUACUUCUCGAAAGGGGAAAAAGUAUGUGAUUCCCCUUUUUGAAUUGUCAACAAGUAACAUGCUUAAGUUACUGGGUUAAUGGGAGUGUGUUGACUGAGAGAGUCAACAUUUGAAUUCUAUGAUAGUUUUUUGUAAGCAAAUUAAGAUUCCGGUGAACAAAAAAGGUGUAAAACCGCGGUAUACAAGAAAAGGAGCUCUGCAAAAAUAUCAUUUUCAUUCAGAUCCAAUCUUUUUACCACUUUGUGUUCUCCAGACAGGAACAAGAGUAUGCCGAUUUGGCUUUCCGGAAUUCUUGCUUUUGGAUUAUAUUCACAUAGGUUACUCGUAUGAAUAGGUUAAUGUCUGCAUCGCAAACACUUAAUGUUUUGUCUAUGAACAAGUGGUGGAUAUGUUGGCCCCAUCACUACCAAGAAAUCCCUCAAGUAUCCACAUCUAAUGCUUUGUACAUCAUUCUGCUUCCAUUAGCACUGGAGAUAAUAGGCUCCUUUGUUUCAGUCCUCUUUGUCAAAGUUAUCAUAUGGGCUGCCGUUCACCGCUACCAAAUUCUACCUGACUGUUGAUCAGCAGAACUUGAUACACCUCUACCGAUAACUUCAUUUUGACCCCAUUUCUCUAUUAUCAUACAUAUUUUACAUGUGGCUAAAUGCUAGUAGGUAUUGUUAUUUUCAGCAUCUUUUGAUGAUCAGUAGGCCAAUUAUGGUUGCUAAUGUUGUCAUAUUUCCUAUGGCUUUAUUACUCCAACCAAUUAAUAAUAUUCUUACAAUUCUUGAAUUGAUUUUUAGAUACUAUUAUAAUAGAAGGACAAGAAUCUCUACCUGGGAGAAACCUCGAGAGAUGAUGACAGAAAUGGAGUUCUGAGACUACUACAGCUCAAGAUGCAGUAGUGUAUGGUAAUGAAUUUUCUUCGGAGAAUAGAGAGUUGUUAGUCAUCUGGUAACAGGUGAAGAAUAUGCUCCAAAUUCCAAUGAGGUUUGCUUUUGUCCUUUGUGCUUGAUGUUGUGCCUAAAAUGGAGAAUGCCAAGAAAGAUGCUGCAAUAACUGAAAUCGGAGGUGCUACUCCAUCAGAUGAGAAAACAGUCGAGCUGGGACCAUUAGUUUAUGAGAGCAAAGCGGCCAUGAGAGCAGUAAUUAAUGACCGGAGAUAUGGUGCUCUAAAAUCCCUU